CUUUACCUAAAAUAUUGGGACCUGAAAUUUUGAACCUCCAACUAAUAAGGCAACAGGGUGACUUGUGGCUUUAUUGCAAAGAAAUUCAAAGCAUUUCUCUUCAGAGGCAGAAGGGCUUGGCUUUCAAUCUCAACUGAAGAGACAUACCUGACCUCAAACAGCAAAGCAACCCAUAAAAUAAGAACUGCGCAUCUUAAGUUCAUUGAGUGACAACACAACAGUCAUGGUGACAGAAAGGAUGCCUUUGUGGAAAGACUCUAGUCCCUGCUCAUUAAAAGACAUCGUAAUCUUGCACGUGGGUGUGGCAGGAUUGGAAUGCUAAUCUGUAUUUUCGUACCGUCAUAAAAUACCUAGAUUUUCUUCUUCAGAUUGUAUACAAACAGCACAACCAAACUCUUUGAGCAUCCAACAUUGGUAAGAUUAACUUAAUCAUACAGUCAGUAAUUCGUGCUUCAUUUCCUUUCUCUUACUUCUUCCUUGUCUAGUGUUUUCUCCUCAUUCUCUCUCUCAGUUCAUACAAACCAAUAUUUUAAUCUCUUUUUCUAAAAAUGAAAUACUUAUUAACAGCAGUCAUUUACUGUGCCCUUCCCCAGCUUUUCUUGCUCAGCCCACAGACAGCCCUGUCUCAAGUAGACUUCACUCAGUGCAUUUCUGCAGCUACAUAGGUUGACUGGCAUUAGAAGCAAUUGCAAAAAGCAAAGAAACUGUUAAAAUAAAUAAGGAAACCCUGAGGCCAUUUUUUCCCUAAGAGAGUCGGAGGGGUUAGCAGAAAAGGGCUGGGUUCACGGAGAAGGGAUGUAUGCUUCUGGAUUUAUCUAAUUGGAAAAAUAACUUUUAGGAUUAAAUAAUCACUUCUGGUGUCCAUAUCACAGAUGUGAAGGAGAACAUCAUAUCUGGGAGAUAUUAUUCUCACAAGUGCCAAAGGCAAUAGUAUUUCUAGACAUUGGGGCAUAGAGAUGAAUGGGAUGAACAUUCAAACUGUUCCUCAGAAGCCAUGCAAAGCAGAAAAUGGGAUUUCAUCUCCUCAAACCCGCUGCUUCAUGAUGUGCAACAGUGCAAGUAAUGUUCAUUGUUCCUCCUUCUCAGUAGGUGCUUCUGAUCAUGCUUUCAUGUAGAUGUGGUGAAAGGGCAACAUUGCUUUGCACAAUUAUUUUGUCAAAUGGAACAGAAUUGUUAGCACAAAGCCUUCCAAAGGUUUUGGAAUGUAUAUUGUCAGUAUAUAUCUGUCUGGGGAGAGAUGGGAAGAUGUGCAAUGCCACAGAAAGAAUAACCAUGAAAACAAAGUGUACAGUUAACCAAUGUAACUUUCAAAUAGAUUUAUAUUUUUAUAAACAGAUUGUGUUUGGGUAUCUGAGUCAAUUAUCCUAAAUGUAGACCAAACAGUGGCAUAUUCUACUAUCAUACUUGAUACUCCAGUAGAACAAAGGUUUUGGCAGCAGAUAGCUCAUACUCUAUCCAUCUUUGAAUGUGGUAACACACCCAGAGCAUGUUAUUUGUCAGCAUAACGACAAUUCCUCUAUUCCCUGACUGCCUAGAGGAAAAGAUUUAAAUAUAACAUUGUUUCUGGUGAAGGGGAAGUUAUCUUAAAAGCUUGAAACUUAAGCCUGUCAUUAGUUUCACAAUAUCUGGGAGAUCUGGUACAGUAUGUUCCUGUAAAAGCCCUGCUUAAAUCUGUGGCCAGUUUCUCCCAAACUGUGAUGAGAACAUGGCAUGCGCGUAAAUCAUUUUCUUUAGAUGCUACAGUAAGAUGUUAAUGGAAUGAGGCAACCUGACAACUGACCAUUUUGAGAAAAAAUAUUUAAAGUGACUUUAAAACACAUGAAGUUAGCUGGACUCUGCAGAGUCUCAGGACUUCAUUCCCACAUUAGCAGGACAGUACUGGAGACCAGGUGGUUAGAGGAGGACACGAUGAAAUGUAGAGAGGAAACAGACUGCUACAGUCUGCUUUCCUCCUUUCUAAAAUAUUUUAAGGGCUAUUGGUAAUAGAAGUCCAGAAACUUCAGAAUGAAGUAUGUUUAUAAAGCUGAAAGGCAAUGUGUAAUGAGUUACGUAGCCUUUUGUCCUUGGUGGAACAAUUUGAAAUCUGAAAUAGGCCAAAAGUAAAUUCAUUUUGUGGACUUAACCUUGUACUCAGUGGAUAUUUAAUCCUAUCACCAAACCACAGGAUAAUGUUAUAACUACCAAUUUUGAAACAGCCCUUUCGGGACAAUAUCUUUUUCUUGGCAGCUACUUUCUGCUAUGAUGGCACCAAAAGAGUUCAGGAGAAAAUUUUGUAAAAUAUUAUGCUUCUCCUACAUCAGGUGCAGUUGUAUACUGAUAACUUGACAAUAUUCCAACUAUAUUAGUAUGACAGAUAUCUGAAGACAUAUACAGGAAAUGUGAUUAGAUAUAUAAAUAGGAAAUGAAGACCAUCCUCUUAAGUCUACAGCUUGUUUUCAGUUUUAGGCAGUAGUUGUUUCAUUUGCUUUGUUGUUGUUAUCUUUUUUUCUUUUUUUGUUCCUCUGUUAUCUCUGCUGCUCUAUCUGCCCUGCUACUAAGGCUUAGCAGCAGCCAGUGAAUAGUACUUCUAUGCAAAUAGCAUUACACAGGAGUCCAAUAUGAAGACUGCAUGCCAAGUGGAAGAAGGACUUGAAGUGAAGGAUAGUAUCUAGCCAUUAAACUUAAAAUUUAUGAUCAAAUAUGAUCAAAUCCAGAACACUGAGAUCUGGGGUUACUCCAAGAAUGAACUUGUCUCUUUUCCUUAACUUCUGUUGUUCUUAUUCAUAAAAAAAAUGUAAACCAUGUGCUUUGAGCUGAAUUAACUGUAACUGAAAUUCUUGGCAGUUGUAAAGACAAAUAGAGUCAUAGCCAGCACUUUAUUCCAGCAAAGCAUUUCAUAUGAACUUCCUCGGGUUUUUUUACAUUUAUGUGCUUUCCUUUUUAUUUUCACAAUAAAGAUUGUCGGAAAAAACAA